rnacentral:lncRNA from 1 species
GUGAGCUUCCCCGGCAGGAACUUACUGGGGCUGCAUCACCCUAGAAACAUGGCUUUGGGCUGUGGAAACGCUGCUGCCGUGGAAGUCUCUCCUCGCGGGGGUGGACGGGGCGCUGCGCGCCCAGCGUCCUUCUGCGGUUCUCCCAGCCCGUCGCCGCCUCCACCUCGGGGACCUUUGCGGGGAGGCCUCGGGGCACUUUCCUCCUCUCUCCCAGGCACGUCCUCGACCUCAGUUGCCACGUGCACAUGCUGGUGCCUUCCAGGCUGGAGUAUACUGGCAUGAUCAUAGAUCACUGCAGCCUCAAACUCCUGGGCUCAAGCGAUCCUCCUACCUCAGCCUCCAUAUAGCUGGUGGGAACCAAGUUUCUAACACAUGAAUGUUGGGAGACACAUUCAGACCAUCGCAGUGGCCUUAUAAAAAGAGACACAAGAGCUUGCUCUCUGCCAUGUGAGUAUACCACAAGAAGACUGUCCUCAGCAAAUCAGAAAGCGGGUGGACCCUCAUCAGACACCAGAUGUGCCUGCACCUUGAUCUUGGACUUGCCAGCCUUCAGAACAGUAAGAAAGAAAUGUGUGUUGUUUAAGCCACCCAGUCUAUGGUAACUUGCUAUAGCAGCCCACUAGGAGACCCCAAGAUAUUUAAAAACUCAUCAGCACCUGCUUUCUGCAUCUGGACCCUGAUCUUCUGGUGGGUUUACCAGUUACUUGUAGAGUGUCCCUGUGAUAGUUUUAGGUGUCAACUUGACAUGAUUGAGGGAUGCCUAGAUGGCUGGGGAAGCACUGUUUCUGAAAAGGACCAUGUUUUUGGAGGAGACUGUUUUAU